GACGAACGCUGGCGGCGUGCCUAAUACAUGCAAGUCGAACGCUUCUUUCCUCCCGAGUGCUUGCACUCAAUUGGAAAGAGGAGUGGCGGACGGGUGAGUAACACGUGGGUAACCUACCCAUCAGAGGGGGAUAACACUUGGAAACAGGUGCUAAUACCGCAUAACAGUUUAUGCCGCAUGGCAUAAGAGUGAAAGGCGCUUUCGGGUGUCGUUGAUGGAUGGACCCGCGGUGCAUUAGCUAGUUGGUAAGGUAACGGCUCACCAAGGCCACGAUGCAUAGCCGACCUGAAGGGGUGAUCGGCCACACUGGAACUGAGACACGGCCCAGACUCCUACGGGGGGCAGCAGUAGGGAAUCUUCGGCAAGGAACGAAAGUCUGACCGAGCAACGCCGCGUGAGUGAAGAAGGUUUUCGGAUCGUAAAACUCUGUUGUUAGAGAAGAACAAGGACGUUAGUAACUGAACGUCCCCUGACGGUAUCUAACCAGAAAGCCACGGCUAACUACGUG
rnacentral:rRNA from 1 species